GACGAACGCUGGCGGCGUGCCUAAUACAUGCAAGUCGAGCGAUGAAGAUUGGUGCUUGCACCACUUUGGAGAGCAGCGGACGGGUGAGUAACGCGUGGGGAAUCUGCCUUUGAGCGGGGGAUAACAUUGGGAAACGAAUGCUAAUACCGCAUAACAACUUUAAACAUAAGUUUUAAGAUUGAAAGAUGCAAUUGCAUCACUCAAAGAUGAUCUCGCGUUGUCUUAGCUAGUUGGUGAGGUAAAGGCUCAACAAGGCGAUGAUACAUAGCCGACCUGGGAGGGGGAUCGGCCACAUUGGGACUGGAACACGGCCCAAACUCCUACGGGAAGCAGCAGUAGGGAAUCUUCGGCAAUUGACGAAAGUCUGACCGGACAACGCCGCGGUAGUGAAGAAAGUUUUCGGAUCGUAAAACUCUGUUUGUAGGGGAGAACGUUAUUUGUAGUUGAAUACGCAUCUAGUGACGGUAACUACUCAGAAAGGGACGGCUAACUACGUG
rnacentral:rRNA from 1 species